GAUGAUUCCAGCAGUGGGUUGACCAUCCCUUUUUGUCUCAGGGGCUUUUUCCCUGCCCGAUCAUUCCUCGGGCGUUUGUCGUUACCGACGUAGGAACUCAGGAGUCCUCUUUUAAUAAGGGCUUCAAUCUCCCGUUGCAAGGCCUUACAGUUCUCCGUGGUAUGCCCAUGAUCCCGAUGGAACUCACAGUACUUGUUCAUGUCCCUGGAUUCGGGUGGUGACCUCAUUCUGACAGGCCAUUUGAGUUCCUUCAUAUCCUUGAU
rnacentral:lncRNA from 1 species